rnacentral:rRNA from 1 species
AGGCUUUGAAUCCCCUGGGCUUCCAGGGACGGAACGCUGGCGGCGUGCUUAUACAUGCAAGUCAACGAGAACCGGAGUACUUGUAUUUCCGGGGGGCCAGGUGGGGCGGCACCGGGGUGAGUAAACAACGUUUAAGGGUAAUCUGCCUUUAGGUCUGACAUAACUCGUCGAAAGACGGGCUAAUAUCAGAUAAAAUGCCCAGCCGGGGGCCCAACAAUGGGUCACAGUUUGUUUAAAACCUUCGGGCCAAGAUAGCUGCUCCAUAGUAGUUGUAAGGUAAUGGCUUACCCAAGCCCGACGGAAUGGGUAGCUGGUCUGAGAGGAUGAUCAGCCACACUGGAACUGAGACACGGUCCAGACUCCUACGGGAGGCAGCAGUAAGGAAUAUUGGUCAAAUGGGGAGAAAUCCCGAACCAGCAACGCGCGUGAGGGAUGAAGGGCUUUUGCUCGUAAACCUCUUUUUUAUGGGAAAAACAUACGAUUAUUUCGUGUUGAUUGUACCUAAGAAUAGCUCCGCUACUA